ACACUCCGGGGGAAGUUCGCAUAGAUGACAAGUAUUCUUACCCCUUCCCGCGUGGUCCACUCCCGUGCUAGAAUAGCGCCUACAGCGGGUUAAUCCUUCAAAGUCGUGUCAGUUCGGAUUGUCCUCUGCAACUCGAGGGCAUGAAGUUGGAAUCGCUAGUAAUCGCGGAUCAGCAUGCCGCGGUGAAUACGUUCCCGGGCCUUGUACACACCGCCCGUCACACCAUGGGAGUUGGUUCUACCCGAAGGCGCUGCGCUGACCGCAAGGAGGGCAGGGCGACCCACGGAGGU
rnacentral:rRNA from 1 species